CCAACCUGCCGUCUACUCUUGGACAGCCUUCUGAAAGGAAGAUUAAUACAAGAUGGCAUCAUGAGUCCGCAUGUUCACAUGAUUAAAGGUAUUCCGGUAGACGAUGGGGAUGCGUUCCAUUAGAUAGUAGGCGGGGUAACGGCCCACCUAGUCUUCGAUGGGUAGGGGUUCUGAGAGGAAGGUCCCCCACAUUGGAACUGAGACACGGUCCAAACUCCUACGGGAGGCAGCAGUGAGGAAUAUUGGUCAAUGGGCGAGAGCCUGAACCAGCCAAGUAGCGUGAAGGAUGACUGCCCUAUGGGUUGUAAACUUCUUUUAUAAAGGAAUAAAGUCGGGUAUGCAUACCCGUUUGCAUGUACUUUAUGAAUAAGGAUCGGCUAACUCCGUGCCAGCAGCCGCGGUAAUACGGAGGAUCCGAGCGUUAUCCGGAUUUAUUGGGUUUAAAGGGAGCGUAGAUGGAUGUUUAAGUCAGUUGUGAAAGUUUGCGGCUCAACCGUAAAAUUGCAGUUGAUACUGGAUAUCUUGAGUGCAGUUGAGGCAGGCGGAAUUCCCUGUGUAGCGGUGAAAUGCGUAGAGAUAGGGAGGAACACCAGUGGCGAAGGCGGCCUGCUGGGCUUUAACUGACGCUGAGGCACGAAAGCGUGGGUAGCAAACAGGAUUAGAUACCCUGGUAGUCCACGCCGUAAACGAUGAUUACUAGGUGUGGGGGGUCUGACCCCCUCCGUGCCGCAGUUAACACAAUAAGUAAUCCACCUGGGGAGUACGGCCGCAAGGUUGAAACUCAAAGGAAUUGACGGGGGCCCGCACAAGCGGUGGAGUAUGUGGUUUAAUUCGACGCAACGCGAAGAACCUUACCAGGUCUUGACAUUGAUCGCCAUUCACAGAAAUGUGAAGUUCUCCUUCGGGAGACGAGAAAACAGGUGGUGCACGGCUGUCGUCAGCUCGUGUCGUGAGAUGUUGGGUUAAGUCCCGCAACGAGCGCAACCCCUAUCUUAUGUUACCAGCACGUUAUGGUGGGGACUCAUGAGAGACCGCCGCGGACAACGCGGAGGAAGGUGGGGAUGACGUCAAGUCAUCAUGCCCCUUAUGACCUGGGCUACACACGUACUACAAUGGGAUGUACAGAGGGCAGCGAAGCCGCGAGGCGGAGCGAAUCCCAUAAAACAUCUCCCAGUUCGGAUUGCAGGCUGAAACCCGCCUGCAUGAAGUCGGAAUCGCUAGUAAUCGCAGGUCAGCAUACUGCGGUGAAUACGUUCCCGGGCCUUGCACACACCGCCCGUA
rnacentral:rRNA from 1 species